GGGGAAUAUUGGGCAAUGGGCGCAAGCCUGACCCAGCAACGCCGCGUGAAGGAAGAAGGCUUUCGGGUUGUAAACUUCUUUUAUGAGGGACGAAAAAAAUGACGGUACCUCAUGAAUAAGCCACGGCUAACUACGUGCCAGCAGCCGCGGUAAUACGUAGGUGGCAAGCGUUAUCCGGAUUUACUGGGUGUAAAGGGCGUGUAGGCGGGACUGUAAGUCAGGCGUGAAAAUUAUGGGCUCAACCCAUAACCUGCGUUUGAAACUAUAGUUCUUGAGUGUCGGAGAGGCAAUCGGAAUUCCGUGUGUAGCGGUGAAAUGCGUAGAUAUCAGGAGGAACACCGAUGGCGAAGGCAGGUCACUGCGCCGCGACUGACGCUGAGGAGCGAAAGCAUGGGGAGCGAACA
rnacentral:rRNA from 1 species